AGGCUUUCAGGAUCUAUAGGGUAAAGAAGACAAAACUUCAAAGGCUUUCAGAAGGGAGAACUCACGUAAAUAUCCCUCGAAGCUUGUCCUCGAUUAUCACGACUGCACAGCUUGAUUGGAAUUCAACCAUCUUCUUUGCUACAGUCAACACUGUGUCAGUUGGUGAGACUUUCAAAACCCUGAACAAACAGCGGUGUUAAGU